rnacentral:tRNA from 2 species
GCCCGGGUGGCGGAACUGGUAGACGCGCGGGACUCAAAAUCCCGUGAUGGCAACAUCGUGAGGGUUCAAGUCCCUCCUCGGGCACCA